UCCCUGGUGGUCCAGUGGUUAGGAUUUGGCACUUUCACUGUUGUGGCCCAAGUUCAAUCCCUGGCUGGGGAA